GCCUCGAUAGCUCAGUUGGGAGAGCGUCAGACUGAAGAUCUGAAGGUCCCCGCUCGAUCCCGGGUCGCGGCA
rnacentral:tRNA from 1 species